CCUACGGGUGGCAGCAGUGAGGAAUAUUGGUCAAUGGCCGUAAGGCUGAACCAGCCACGUCGCGUGAAGGAAGAAGGAUCUAUGGUUUGUAAACUUCUUUUAUAGGGGAAUAAAGGUAUCCACGUGUGGAUAUUUGCAUGUACCCUAUGAAUCAGCAUCGGCUAACUCCGUGCCAGCAGCCGCGGUAAUACGGAGGAUGCGAGCGUUAUCCGGAUUUAUUGGGUUUAAAGGGUGCGUAGGUUGUAGUUUAAGUCAGCGGUGAAAGUUUGUGGCUAAACCAUAAAAUUGCCGUUGAAACUGGAAAACUUGAGUGUGGUUGAGGUAGGCGGAAUGCGUGGUGUAGCGGUGAAAUGCAUAGAUAUCACGCAGAACUCCGAUUGCGAAGGCAGCUUACUAAGCCAUAACUGACACUGAAGCACGAAAGCGUGGGGAGCAAACAGGAUUAGAUACCCCAGUAGUC
rnacentral:rRNA from 1 species